rnacentral:rRNA from 1 species
AACGAACGCUGGCGGCAGGCCUAAUACAUGCAAGUCGAGCGAACAGAUGAGAAGCUUGCUUCUCUGAUGUUAGCGGCGGACGGGUGAGUAACACGUGGGUAACCUACCUAUAAGACUGGGAUAACUCCGGGAAACCGGGGCUAAUACCGGAUAAUAUUUUGAACCGCAUGGUUCAAAAGUGAAAGACGGUUUCGGCUGUCACUUAUAGAUGGACCCGCGCCGUAUUAGCUAGUUGGUAAGGUAACGGCUUACCAAGGCGACGAUACGUAGCCGACCUGAGAGGGUGAUCGGCCACACUGGAACUGAGACACGGUCCAGACUCCUACGGAAGGCAGCAGUAGGGAAUCUUCCGCAAUGGGCGAAAGCCUGACGGAGCAACGCCGCGUGAGUGAUGAAGGUCUUCGGAUCGUAAAACUCUGUUGUUAGGGAAGAACAAAUUUGUUAGUAACUGAACAAGUCUUGACGGUACCUAACCAGAAAGCCACGGCUAACUACGUGCCAGCAGCCGCAGUAA